UACAGAGGGGGCAAGCGUUGUUCGGAAUUACUGGGCGUAAAGAGCUCGUAGGCGGUUUGUCGCGUCUGCUGUGAAAACUCGGGGCUUAACCCCGGGCCUGCAGUGGGUACGGGCAGACUGGAGGUAUGCAGGGGAGAACGGAAUUCCUGGUGUAGCGGUGAAAUGCGCAGAUAUCAGGAGGAACACCGGUGGCGAAGGCGGCCAACUGGACGAAUACUGACGCUGAGGAGCGAAAGCGUGGGGAGCGAACAGG
rnacentral:rRNA from 1 species